rnacentral:rRNA from 1 species
UACGAAGGGGGCUAGCGUUGCUCGGAAUUACUGGGCGUAAAGGGCGCGUAGGCGGAUAUUUAAGUUGGGGGUGAAAUCCCGGGGCUCAACCUCGGAAUUGCCUUCAAAACUGGAUAUCUUGAGUUCGGGAGAGGUGAGUGGAACUCCGAGUGUAGAGGUGAAAUUCGUAGAUAUUCGGAAGAACACCAGUGGCGAAGGCGACUCACUGGCCCGAUACUGACGCUGAGGCGCGAAAGCGUGGGUAGCAAACAGG